rnacentral:rRNA from 1 species
AGGACGAACGUUGGCGGCGUGCCUUACACAUGCAAGUCGUACGCGAAAGGGGAACUCAGCUUGCUGGGGACCCCCGGUAGAGUGGCGAACGGGAGCGUAACACGUGAGGAACCUGCCUCGGAGUGGGGAAUAACCCAGAGAAAUCUGGGCUAAUUCCGCAUGAUGCAGCCGGCCCCGCAGUGGGACAGUUGUUAAAGACCGCCUCU